AGAGUUUGAUCCUGGCUCAGAACGAACGCUGNCGGCGUGGUUGAUACAUGCAAGUCGAACGGGAAAGGGGGCUUCGGCCUCCGAGUACAGUGGCGGACGGGUGAGUAACAUAUGAUCAAUCUGCCCGAGAGACCGGGAUAGCCAUCCGAAAGGAUGGGUAAUACCGGAUAAGCCCACGGCGAGGCAUCUCGCAGGGGGAAAAGGAUUGGGAUCUUCGGACCCUUCGCUUUCGGAUGAGAUUAUAUCCUAUCAGUUAGUUGGCGGGGUAACGGCCCACCAAGACGACGACGGGUAGCCGGCCUGAGAGGGUGGACGGCCACACUGGAACUGAGACACGGUCCAGACUCCUACGGGAGGCAGCAGUGCUGAAUUAUUCGCCAAUGCGCGAAAGCGUGACGGUGCGACGCCGCGUGC
rnacentral:rRNA from 1 species